GACGAACGCUGGCGGCGUGCUUAACACAUGCAAGUCGAACGGAAAGGCCCUGCUUUUGUGGGGUGCUCGAGUGGCGAACGGGUGAGUAACACGUGAGUAACCUGCCCUUGACUUUGGGAUAACUUCAGGAAACUGGGGCUAAUACCGGAUAGGAGCUCCUGCUGCAUGGUGGGGGUUGGCAAGUUUCGGCGGUUGGGGAUGGACUCGCGGCUUUUCAGCUUGUUGGUGGGGUAGUGGCUUACCAAGGCUUUGACGGGUAGCCGGCCUGAGAGGGUGUCCGGCCACAUUGGGACUGAGAUACGGCCCAGACUCCUACGGGAGGCAGCAGUGGGGAAUAUUGCACAUUGGGCGGAAGCCUGAUGCAGCAACGCCGCGGGCGGGAUGACGCCCUUCGGGUUGUAACCCGCUUUCGCCUGUGACGAAGCGUGAGUGACGGUAAUGGGUAAAGAAGCACCGGCUAACUACGUG
rnacentral:rRNA from 1 species